GGGCCUCGCGCGAUUGGAGCGGCCGAUAUCGGAUUAGCUAGUUGGUGGGGUAAAGGCUCACCAAGGCGACGAUCCGUAGCGGGUCUGAGAGGACGACCCGCCACACUGGAACUGAGACACGGUCCAGACUCCUACGGGAGGCAGCAGUGGGGAAUUUUGGACAAUGGGGGCAACCCUGAUCCAGCCAUUCCGCGUGAGUGAAGAAGGCCUUCGGGUUGUAAAGCUCUUUCAGCAGGAACGAAACGGCAGGUCUUAAUACGGCUUGCUAAUGACGGUACCUGCAGAAGAAGCACCGGCUAACUACGUGCCAGCAGCCGCGGUAAUACGUAGGGUGCGAGCGUUAAUCGGAAUUACUGGGCGUAAAGCGUGCGCAGGCGGUGACAUAAGACAGAUGUGAAAUCCCCGGGCUCAACCUGGGAACUGCGUUUGUGACUGUGUUACUAGAGUGUAGCAGAGGGGGGUGGAAUUCCACGUGUAGCAGUGAAAUGCGUAGAGAUGUGGAGGAACACCGAUGGCGAAGGCAGCCCCCUGGGUUAACACUGACGCUCAUGCACGAAAGCGUGGGGAGCAAACAGGAUUAGAUACCCUGGUAGUCCACGCCCUAAACGAUGCCAACUAGGUGUUGGGGAAGGAGACUUCCUUAGUACCGUAGCUAACGCGUGAAGUUGGCCGCCUGGGGAGUACGGUCGCAAGAUUAAAACUCAAAGGAAUUGACGG
rnacentral:rRNA from 1 species